rnacentral:SRP_RNA from 1 species
GUCAGAUAUGGUGGCGUGUACCUGUAGUCCCAGCUACUUGGGAGGCUGAGGUGGGAGGAUCACUUGAGCCCUGGAGGUCGAGGUUGCAGUGAGCCGUGAUUGCACCACUGCACUCUAGCCUGGGCGACAAAGUGAGAUCCUGUCUCAA